UCAGUGGCAUGAAUCACUGCUGGUGUGUGUGUGCGCGUGUGUGUGCUGAUCCAAGAGCGUGCCAUGCAGUGAUGGUUUAAGAGGGGGGCCUUUCAUUGCUGCAACAGGAGUCUCCACAGGGACUGAGCUGCCGAAACAAAGGAGAUCUUUAUUGUCACCUGGGGACCUCGUAGCUGCAGCCAUGGCACGCCUAGAUGGAGCUAUUACCAACAUUGUGGACGUAUUUAUGGAUUAUGCUGACGAUGGCGGCAAAAAACGACAAUUAAACAAAGAAGAGCUCAAGAAACUGUUUGAACAAGAGAUAGAAUGCCCUGAGUUGAAGGACAAAAUAAGUGCAGGUGACAUUGAGGAAGCCAUGGAGAUGCUGGACAAAAACCAUGAUGGUGAGGUGAACUUUCGCGAGUUUUGUCGUUGUGUGUGUGUCCUCGCCACAGGCUACUACCACAAGAAAAUAGGCAAGGGUGGCAAAAGGGGCAAGGGCAAGCAAGAAGAUGAACAAGACGGCUGAGCAAGCGCCUGUAAAUAAACACAAAGUACAAUGGAUCAAAAGAUGUAUUGAUGGUUGAGAAAUUAACCUGGUUUUAUGUAAGAUUAAAUUAAAUCUAUGAUGGAUCAA